GGUCGGUUAGCUCAGUUGGUAGAGCAUCGCAAUUACAUUCAAAGUCACUGCGAAGGUCAUAGGUUCAAGCCCUAUACUGACCA